ACCAGUUUUCAUUAGUGAGUGAGAAAGUUUAGAGAUUUCCAAAUUUAUAUUGCGAAUUAUUAGUGCAAAUUAAAAUUAAAACACAUUAGUUUGCAAAGCAGAAGUAGUUCGGAAGACAUAGUUAAUAGUAGUCGAAGAUUUAUUCACCUCGACCGCAGCACCUGUUGUAUGUAACCUGAAAAGAAGAGAUUAAAAUAGAAAAAAACCCAAACGAUCGAUUCGAAUAGCAGGCAAAAACAGUGCGCUGAGAUAGGCAAUUUGGAAGAUCGCAAAUUGGUAGAGGAACUUGUGGCGUGCAAAAAGGAAAAUAUAGGCGAAACUAUUUAUUUUUGAGCUGUGCAAAUCAACACUGCUGCAAAAAAGUGGUUCGAUUCUAUCCGAACAAUUGGGAUUUUUCCAAAGAGACAGUAGAUGAAUAAUUCUCCCAACUUUGAGCAAAAUCUGUGAAGGUCGUGUCCAAGUGGCAUGUACACUUCAUAUGGAAUGACCCAUAGUCAUCUUGCUUUGGAAACAGUGUACGCUGAUUCCAUCCCAGCCUUAUAUAACAGACGCACCAACAAAGGAAACCGGCAGACCGCACUGCACAGCAUUGCUAAACAUGUCCGGACAUUUAUUGGACAUUUAUUGGUUUGUGCUUUCUCCUCAAAGGAACACUACUGUGUAAGAGAUUAUCUUCCACUGCGAAAACAACUGCUCUUGCACUAGGGGGCACAGCGACGCUCUGGCUUGAAAAAAAAAACAGCGGAUCGUGUAUACCUGAG